rnacentral:rRNA from 1 species
AUGGUGGCCAUAUGUGAAUUCAGGUUCUUGGGGAACCAUUUCGCCUGCCGACGGUGCGACGCCCUUCUGAUUCGGGACGAGGAGGUUGUGGCCUUCUACGGGGACAAAGACAUAUGUCAUUGUGCCCAGGUUGUUCAGCAUGAAGAAGUGGACUUGGGCCUUCUCCUUUUACAUUGUUGUUUUCCACAGGCUCGGUGGUUGCCUGGUGCUGGCUCUUUGAUGGCCGAAGACCUCGACGGAUCCAUCAAGCUCAAUCUAAAAAACAAAAGCAAUCAGAUCCUCCCCGGUGAAACACCAAUGCCCUAUCCACUACGCGCCGCCACCGCGCUGCUGCCAUCCGUCGCCGCUCUGCUCCGGGCCGGGAGGAUGAGGGAGGAGGAGGAGCGCAGCUGGUUUGCGCGCUUCGAAGAGGACCUGUCGGCGCCGGGCGAGCUCAUGCUGCGCAGUCGCUCAUCCCCUACGAUCUCGCCGCUGCCUUCGACACCCCCACACACAGGGGCGGCCUGCUCAGGGGCGGCCCGCCAGGAGAUGAACGGCGGCGCGUCGUCAGCCGCCGGCUCCAGCGGAAGCAACGGGGAGGAACCGGCCAGGACCCUCAAAUCGAGCUCGUCCUCCUUCGUGGAUGAGGGCGACGGGAAGUCGAGCAGGUGGACUCAUCUUGUCGCCUCCCCCUCCAAACCCCCCCUUGACCACAUCGGAGGAAGAGGGUGCUACUCCUCUGCUUCGGCUCCUGACGCGUGCUCCAUGUCGCUGACCCGACCGCCACCCUCGCUGCAGCACCGACAGUCCAACGCCUUGGAAAUGCACGCACCCCAGCCGCCUCCUCGUCAUCUGCUAUGGCCGUGGUCGUCUCCUACGCCGACGAGGGCGUCGCCGUGUGUACUAGACGGCAAGGCCACCGCUCCCAUGGUACACAUGGUGGCCAUAUGUGAAUUCGGGUUCUUGGUGAACCAUUUCGCCUGCCGACGGUGCGACGCCCUUCUGAUCCGGGACGAGGAGGUUGUGGCCUUCUACGGCGACAAAGACAUAUGUCAUUGUGCCCAGCAAUCAGAUCCUCCCCGGUGGAACACCAAUGCCCUAUCCACUACGCGCCGCCGCCGGCUGCUGCCAUCCGCCGCCGCUCUGCUCCGGGCCGGGAGGAUGAGGGAGGAGGAGGAGCGCAGCUGGUUUGCGCGCUUCGAAGAGGACCUGUCGGCGUCGGGCGAGCUCAUGCUGCGCAGUUGCACAUCCCCUGCGAUCUCGCCGCUGCCUUCGACACACCCACACACAGGGGCGGCCCGCUCAGGGGCGGCCCGCCAGGAGAUGAACGGCGGCGCGUCGUCAGCCGCCGGCUCCAGCGGAAGCAACGGGGAGGAGCCGGCCAGGACCCUCAAAUCGAGCUCGUCCUCCUUCGUGGAUGAGGGCGACGGGAAGUCGAGCAGGUGGACUCAUCUUGUCGCCUCCCCCUCCAAACCCCCCCUUGACCACAUCGGAGGAAGAGGGUGCUGCUCCUCUGCUUCGGCUCCUGGCGCGUGCUCCAUGUCGCUGACCCGACCGCCACCCUCGCUACAGCACCGGCAGGCCAACGCCUCGGAAAUGCGCGCACCCCAGCCGCCUCCUCGUCAUCUGCUACGGCCGUGGUCGUCUCCUACACCGACGAGGGCGUCGCCGUGCGUACUAGACGGCAAGGCCACCGCUCCCAUGGUACACAUGGUGGCCAUAUGUGAAUUCGGGUUCUUGGUGAACCAUUUCGCCUGCCGACGGUGCGACGCCCUUCUGAUCCGGGACGAGGAGGUUGUGGCCUUCUACGGCGACAAAGACAUAUGUCAUUGUGCCCAGCAAUCAGAUCCUCCCCGGUGGAACACCAAUGCCCUAUCCACUACGCGCCGCCGCCGGCUGCUGCCAUCCGCCGCCGCUCUGCUCCGGGCCGGGAGGAUGAGGGAGGAGGAGGAGCGCAGCUGGUUUGCGCGCUUCGAAGAGGACCUGUCGGCGUCGGGCGAGCUCAUGCUGCGCAGUUGCACAUCCCCUGCGAUCUCGCCGCUGCCUUCGACACACCCACACACAGGGGCGGCCCGCUCAGGGGCGGCCCGCCAGGAGAUGAACGGCGGCGCGUCGUCAGCCGCCGGCUCCAGCGGAAGCAACGGGGAGGAGCCGGCCAGGACCCUCAAAUCGAGCUCGUCCUCCUUCGUGGAUGAGGGCGACGGGAAGUCGAGCAGGUGGACUCAUCUUGUCGCCUCCCCCUCCAAACCCCCCCUUGACCACAUCGGAGGAAGAGGGUGCUGCUCCUCUGCUUCGGCUCCUGGCGCGUGCUCCAUGUCGCUGACCCGACCGCCACCCUCGCUACAGCACCGGCAGGCCAACGCCUCGGAAAUGCGCGCACCCCAGCCGCCUCCUCGUCAUCUGCUACGGCCGUGGUCGUCUCCUACACCGACGAGGGCGUCGCCGUGCGUACUAGACGGCAAGGCCAGUGGGCCUGAUUGCCUUUUCUGUAAAUAUCUAGGGCGCGGAGGAAAUCCUUCAGUCAAGACCUGCUUCCAUCUCGUGUUGAGCGAGAUAUAUUUCUCGCGCGGUUCCCACUUCCCCCGCGGCCUCUACAGUUCAGUUGGGGUCCUUCGUUCCCACGUCCGAUUCACAGAGGACAAAUUAACCGCUACCUCUUCCGAUACAGACGGCCGGUGGUUAACUCCACGCCGUAGUACGUGGCUGGCGACGCCAUUGAUUGCCCCAGCGUCGCCGCUCUCCAUUUGCUUUUCCCCGGCCGGCCGGCCGGCCGAUAGAGAUCCAAAAAGUUGCGGUUGUUCGACCCACCAGCCAUAG